GCAAGUCGAGGGGUAACAGGAGUGCUUGCACUUGCUGACGACCGGCGCACGGGUGCGUAACGCGUAUAUAACUUGCCUUUGUCUGGAAGAUAGCCCGGAGAAAUCCGGAUUAAUAUUCCAUGGUAUCUUAAGUGAGCAUUUACUAAAGAUUAAAGAUUUAUCGGACAGAGAUAGAUAUGCGUCCCAUUAGCUAGUUGGUAAGGUAACGGCUUACCAAGGCCGCGAUGGAUAGCUGGUCUAAGAGGAUGAUC
rnacentral:rRNA from 1 species